GGAAGUAAAAGUCGUAACAAGGUCUCCGUAGGUGAACCUGCGGAGGGGAUCAUUA
rnacentral:rRNA from 1 species